GCCGACGUGGUGUAACUCGGCAGCAUACGGCCCUGUCACGGCUGAGAUUCGGGUUCAAAUCCCGACGUCGGCG
rnacentral:tRNA from 1 species